rnacentral:rRNA from 1 species
UACGUAGGGUGCAAGCGUUGUCCGGAAUUAUUGGGCGUAAAGAGCUCGUAGGCGGUUUGGUAAGUCAGGUGUGAAAUCUCCACGCUCAACGUGGAGGGGCCACCUGAUACUGCCAUGACUGGAGUCCGGUAGAGGAGUGUGGAAUUCCCGGUGUAGCGGUGAAAUGCGCAGAUAUCGGGAGGAACACCAAUGGCGAAGGCAGCUCGCUGGGACGGUACUGACGCUGAGGCGCGAAAGCGUGGGGAGCAAACAGG